AGGGCCGCGCGACCCUUCCUCUGAAAGAAGAAAAAAAAAGGGAAAAGGAAAGAGAGAGAUACGGUUUUUCAUAGAAAAAUCAUGAUUUACGAAGAUCUAAUCGUUCAAACUCAAAUCCGAUUUCGGAAACGUGAUCUACGAAGUCUGAUCUACGUUUCUACUGAUUGGUUUGAGGAUUUGUUGUAAGGAGCUUGCUAAACACUUUCCAAGUGUUGAAUUUACAUUUGGUGAAAUUUUUGGUGAGUUUCCUCAAACCUAACUUUUGGGUUAUGUAUUUUAAUUGCGAUUUCUUGUGCCUAAUCCUAAGUAAGCCUUAUGGGUUAGUGUUGUUAGUUGUACUUGGAUGUGACGCUAUUGGUUGGGAUAUCAGUGUGACUUGGGAGUAGGUAGAUAGAUUGUCAUGAUUCAUCAGUAAGAAGUGCUUGGAUAUCGGAGUUUUCCUCUAGUAAUCGCAUGGACAACAAUGUGUCAUAGACAUGAAGUUGUAAUGCCCUGAGGUACGGUGCUAUCACAGCUAAUAAUGUUAGAUCUCUGUGCAUUUGAGCUACCAAUAUAAAAGUAUUAUUGUAGGUGGGUGUAUACGUAGCUGCUUCCAAGCCAUUGGAACUUCUACGUAUGAGUCCAACUACAUAGUAUGUAUUAAAUGUUUUCUGAUAGUCGGUGUUUGCUAUAUCAGCUAUGGGGGUUUUCAAACAAAAGUUUAUAAAUUGGUAGCUGUUAUAGUGUAUGCAAGACUAAAAAGGAAAAAGUUGGUUCUUUGCAAAAACUCAGUUAGUUUAAUAUCACUGAGCUCUCAGUAUGUUUUAUACGGAGACGAUGGGCUAAUAAUUCCACCUAUGCGGAUGCACCAACCCCCGCAACCGUGCAGACAUUAAAGCUUUGGUUGCAGGUUCUGCAGAUAUAGAUAUUGACUCGUCCACCUAGCGUAUAGGAUGUUAUGAUUGGAGCACAUCGCGACAGUCAUAAGUCACGGACUCAUGGGUAGUCCGCAUUUUGGGUAUUUUAUUUAUGGCUCGUGUCCUACGUGGAUAUGUAUUUGUUGAGCUUGUAUUCUAAUAUGUAUUUAGUGUAAUAUGUUUUAUAAGCUUUAAUCAGUUAGACAUGUAAAUGGCUCUUGUUGUUGAUAACAGUUAUGCAUUAGAUGUAUUUCCGCUUUUGAUAUGUGUUUUGCUACACAUUGAUAUUUAUAUUCCGUUGUGUUAGAUGUAA